AUCUUCUUUGAAGGUAUGCUUAAGGAGGGGCUUGCGACACAUUAGUUAGUUGGCAGGGUAAAGGCCUACCAAGACUAUGAUGUGUAGCUGGACUGAGAGGUUGAACAGCCACAUUGGGACUGAGACACGGCCCAAACUCCUACGGGAGGCAGCAGUAGGGAAUUUUCGGCAAUGGAGGAAACUCUGACCGAGCAACGCCGCGUGAACGAUGAAGUACCUCGGUAUGUAAAGUUCUUUUAUUAAGGAAGAAAAAAGAGUGGAAAAACUCCCUUGACGGUACUUAAUGAAUAAGCCCCGGCUAAUUAUGUGCCAGCAGCCGCGGUAAUACAUAAGGGGCGAGCGUUAUCCGGAAUUAUUGGGCGUAAAGGGUGCGUAGGCGGUUUAAUAAGUCUAUAGUUUAAUUUCAGUGCUUAACGCUGUUGUGCUAUAGAAACUGUUUUACUAGAGUGAGAUAGAGGCAAGCGGAAUUCCAUGUGUAGCGGUAAAAUGCGUAAAUAUAUGGAGGAACACCAGAGGCGUAGGCGGCUUGCUGGGUCUUUACUGACGCUGAGGCACGAAAGCGUGGGGAGCAAACAGGAUUAGAUACCCUGGUAGUCCACGCCGUAAACGAUGAGUACUAAGUGUCGGGUAAAACUGGUACUGAAGUUAACACAUUAAGUACUCCGCCUGAGUAGUACGUACGCAAGUAUGAAACUUAAAGGAAUUGACGGGACUCCGCACAAGCGGUGGAUCAUGUUGUUUAAUUCGAAGAUACA
rnacentral:rRNA from 1 species